UUUGACCUCAAAUCAGG
rnacentral:rRNA from 13 species